GGGAUGGCAUUCCAGAGCCACUCACUUCCUCCUCAAUCUGGGACAGCUUGGGGGAUGCGGAUCUGGAGCUCUCAGAGGCAUCACUCAGAUUUAGCUACUACUUCUGGAGUGUGCAGUCCCAGAUCUCCAAGGGCAUCAGCAUCUUUACUGCAAAACAGAGAAGAGCGUCACAAACCUCUCCUCGUGAACAGCUGUCUGCUCUUUCUGGAGCUCUACAGAUAAGGUCAUGCUGCUGACCCCAUCCAUGGGCAUGUCAAGAGCUCGUUCUCUGUUGUGGGAUGUCACUGGGAUAGACACUCUGCCUGUAAAGCAUCACUGCAGCAAGAUGGCUCUUUGGACAUUAGCUGAGACAAAC